rnacentral:rRNA from 1 species
GACGAACGCUGGCGGCGUGCCUAAUACAUGCAAGUAGGACGCACAGUUUAUACCGUAGCUUGCUACACCAUAGACUGUGAGUUGCGAACGGGUGAGUAACGCGUAGGUAACCUGCCUAUUAGAGGGGGAUAACUAUUGGAAACGAUAGCUAAUACCGCAUAACAGUAUGUAACACAUGUUAGAUGCUUGAAAGAUGCAAUUGCAUCGCUAGUAGAUGGACCUGCGUUGUAUUAGCUAGUAGGUAGGGUAAAGGCCUACCUAGGCAACGAUACAUAGCCGACCUGAGAGGGUGAUCGGCCACACUGGGACUGAGACACGGCCCAGACUCCUACGGGAGGCAGCAGUAGGGAAUCUUCGGCAAUGGGGGGAACCCUGACCGAGCAACGCCGCGUGAGUGAAGAAGGUUUUCGGAUCGUAAAGCUCUGUUGUUAAGGAAGAACGAGUGUGAGAAUGGAAAGUUCAUACUGUGAC